GAUGAACGCUAGCGGCAGGCCUAAUACAUGCAAGUCGAACGAGAUUUAAGACUUCGGUUUUAAUGAAAGUGGCGCACGGGUGCGUAACGCGUAUGCAACCUACCUUUUACAGGGGGAUAGCCCGGGGAAACUCGGAUUAAUACCCCAUGGUAUCAUAAAAUCACCUGAUUUAAUGAUUAAAGAUUUAUCGGUAAAAGAUGGGCAUGCGUCUGAUUAGCUAGAUGGUGAGGUAACGGCUCACCAUGGCGAUGAUCAGUAGGGGUUCUGAGAGGAUGAUCCCCCACACUGGUACUGAGACACGGACCAGACUCCUACGGGAGGCAGCAGUAGGGAAUAUUGGACAAUGGGCGAGAGCCUGAUCCAGCCAUGCCGCGUGUAGGAUGACGGCCUUCUGGGUUGUAAACUACUUUUCUACAGGAAGAAAAAGACUAUGCGUAGUCAAUUGACGGUACUGUAGGAAUAAGCACCGGCUAACUCCG
rnacentral:rRNA from 1 species